rnacentral:rRNA from 1 species
GAUCCUACGGGACGCAGCAGUAGGGAAUUUUCGGCAAUGGGGGGAACCCUGACCGAGCAACGCCGCGUGAAGGAAGAAGGAAUUCGUUCUGUAAACUUCUGUUAUAAAGGAAGAAAGACGGAUGGAGGAAAUGACAUCCGAGUGACGGUACUUUAUGAGAAAGCCACGGCUAACUACGUGCCAGCAGCCGCGGUAAUACGUAGGGGGCAAGCGUUAUCCGGAAUUAUUGGGCGUAAAGAGGGAGCAGACGGUAGUGAAGGUCUGAGGUGAAAGCCUGCAGCUUAACUUCAGUAAUCCAUUGGAAA